UUACUGCGUCGACUGGUUGACGGCCUGGAACAGUUUGGUAUUUAGUGUGUUCGUGAUCGUCCCUACUCGGUUGAUAAUAUCGGCGAUGAAGAUUCAAACCAUUGAACUGGUCAUCUGCCUGGACGAUGGAAUAUUGACAGAGGAGGAGUUUGUCCUGCUUCAGUUUUUCAAGAGGAUAGGUAAAUAGAGAAGAUGGAAAUAAACGGUUUAUGUGAGACUGGUGUGACCUCAUUCCUAAUUAGUGAAAUAUUCUCCGCCGGAAGUUAUUCCUAGAUUGGAAGAAACAAUUGUAUGGAAUCUAGGGGCCCAGAAAUUGAGCAGCUGCGAUGGUGCUGGGCUUCUAAUGCUACCUUGGAUUUCCCUUAGGUUUCUUAACUAUCUUGGAUGAGGUUAACAAU